rnacentral:rRNA from 1 species
AUUGAACGCUGGCGGCAGGCCUAACACAUGCAAGUCGAACGAGUGGCGGACGGGUGAGAAAUGCCUGGGAAACUGCCCGAUGGCGGGGGAUAACUACUGGAAACGGUAGCUAAUACCGCAUACCAUCGGAUGUGCCCAGAUGGGAUUAGCUAGUAGGUGGGGUAACGGCUCACCUAGGCGACGAUCCCUAGCUGGUCUGAGAGGAUGAACAGCCACACUGGGACUGGGACACGGUCCAGACUCCUACGGUAGGAUGCAGUGGGGAAUAUUGCACAAUGGGCGCAAGCCUGAUGCAGCCAUGCCGCGUGUAUGAAGAAGGUCUUAGGGUUGUAAAGUACUUUCAUCGAGGAGGCGUUACUCGCAGAAGAAGCACCGGCUAACUCCGUGCCAGCAGCCGCGGUAAUUC